rnacentral:rRNA from 1 species
CAGCAGCCGCGGUAAUACAGAGGGUGCGAGCGUUAAUCGGAUUUACUGGGCGUAAAGCGUGCGUAGGCGGCUUUUUAAGUCGGAUGUGAAAUCCCUGAGCUUAACUUAGGAAUUGCAUUCGAUACUGGGAAGCUAGAGUAUGGGAGAGGAUGGUAGAAUUCCAGGUGUAGCGGUGAAAUGCGUAAAGAUCUGGAGGAAUACCGAUGGCGAAGGCAGCCAUCUGGCCUAAUACUGACGCUGAGGUACGAAAGCAUGGGGAGCAAACAGGAUUAGAUACCCCGGUAGUCCCUGUCUCUUAUAC